rnacentral:rRNA from 1 species
GACAGAGGGUGCAAGCGUUGUUCGGAAUUAUUGGGCGUAAAGCGCACGUAGGCGGCGAGCUAAGUCGCAUGUGAAAGCCCAUGGCUCAACCAUGGAAGUGCAUGCGAGACUGGCUGGCUCGAGUGUCGGAGAGGGUGGUGGAAUUCCCAGUGUAGAGGUGAAAUUCGUAGAUAUUGGGAGGAACACCAGUGGCGAAGGCGACCACCUGGACGACUACUGACGCUGAGGUGCGAGAGCGUGGGGAGCAAACAGG